GCCCGGGUGGCGAAACCGGUAGACGCGGGCGACUUAAAAUCGCCUGGCCCACGGCCGUGCAGGUUCGACCCCUGCCCCGGGCACCC
rnacentral:tRNA from 1 species